UCGUGAUGCGAUGCAGUCCUGCCCAGUGUGUGUGCAAAGUGAGGGAGCAGCCGAGCUCUGUCUCUGUCAACACCUAUGACACAGAAACAGCACAAGUCAGCACCCGGGAGGUGAGGGUGACCUGUCCGUGGGAGCCAUCUACACAGAUCUUCAGUCAGGCUUUGGAUUUCCAUAAAGUCUCCACCUCAGCAGUGAAUCCAAUGAUACCUAGAAUCCAAGGAGUAAGGAGACCAUGAAUCAUUGUGAAAAUCCUUUCGAAGCUGGGGGCAGACAGAAUCUAUGUGCUUCGGAGAUUGGAGUGGACAAGACUGGCCUUUCCUCGGGGCCCCUGGGGGUGCCCAGUGGUUGACAGUCUGCCUUUGAUUCAGGUCGUGAUCCCGGGGUCCUGGGAUCGAGUCCUGCAUGGGGAUCCCCGCAGGGAGCCUGCUUCUCCCUCUGCUUGUGUCUCUUUCUCUCUCUGGAUCUCUCAUGAAUAAAUAAAUAAAAUCUUAAAAAAAAAAAAGAAGAAGAAGAAGAAGAAGAAGAUUGGCCUUUCUCUUCCUUCACAGGACUGGGCUUGGAUGCUGCUUUCGGCCUUUGGGAUUAUGCCUACAUGUGAGCAUACUUAGCAAAGGCUCCAGAUCAGCAUGGUUGUAAAAACACAGUUCUGACACUCCACAGCCUUCUUUUCUCAUUUCUGAGUAAUCCUAGAUGAAUGACAUUUUUUGUGGCGUUUUAGGCAAUUGGCACAUCGCGGCCAUCUGGCAGCCAGCAAAGGAGGACACCUCUGACACCGUAAGGUGACCUGCCAGUGGUUAAAAACAACGAAAGGUGGUUGCUGUUUAUUCCCAGGGAGCAGCGUACACCUGCGGUUCUUCGCUCAUCAGUAUUCACGGACGCCUCUUCACACUGAAGCAGCCACUGCUGUUGAAGAUCCUUUUUAACUAGACAAAAUAUUUCGGCAACUAUUGCUCUUUGUGAGAAAAAUAAACAACGGGCAAACAGAAAAAAGGAAAAACGUAGUCACAAGGAUACUCAAAGGAAUAACAUAGCCUCAUCUAAUAUGGAGAAGUUUCUCUCUUUGUGCAUCUCCUGGGAGUUUCAUAAAUGAAGCUGAAACAGAAGUUUAUCCUUCCUGAGGAUGAGAGGAGAAACCAGCGGCGACUGGAGGCUACAGUUCUGAGGGAAAGGAGAGUCUUAGGGUUUACCCUCUCCUUUUUCUCUAGCUAACAACCAUACAAAUCCUGACCAGGCCUGCCCAGUCUGACGUGAGAAACGGGUUGUGAGGAAGAUAUCAAAACAGUAUUUUCAAGACAGAUUAGGAAACAGAGAGAACCAGGAUCCCAAGUUGAGGUUCAGCUAUUUUCUUUUUUUCCCACAGGGGAUUUCUAGUUGCUAUUGGAACGAGUAGCAUUUUGUUGUAGUGAAUUUGCAAAACAAGAUUUAGACAUAUUAAUUUAGCCUCAGUUUAUAGUUUGGUACCAUUGGGGUGGAAAAGCAGAAACCACUUAAGGAAGUGCCGGUAGCAUACAAUAGUACUGCUUUGGCCACAAAUUCUUCAAAUUAUAUAUCUGUCUUUAUUCAAAAAUAUUUGCUGCUAACUUAUUCAGGUCUUGGAGCAUAUCAAAAGAUAAAGACUUUUAUCUGGAGGAGCUCCCAGUCUAGUGGAGGAAAUGAAGAAAGGCUGUCACUCUUACCUAUAGCACAAUGUGUUGGAACCUACGAGAAAUGUUCACCCUAAUGGCUGUAAGACUGUAUCUGGUAACAGGCCUCAGAGAGGAGGUAAGAUUCCCUUUGAGAUUUUUAAAGAAAGAUUAAAGCAACGGAUCUGACAGUGGUAAUGGGUAGAAUGAGCUGACUCAUAGGGAAAUAGGGUGAGGAAAGACAUAGAAUUAACAAAGUCCAAGGUUUGGUGGAUCCAGGUAUUAAUGGGGAUCCUGGUUUGACUGGAAAUAAGUCAUGUGAAGUGAGUAGAUAGAUAGAUAGAAAACUGUUUGGUUUCUUCAUAUAGGGCUUCAAUACUGUGUUAGAAUCUGUGGUUCAUGUAUGAAUGAGAAACCACAAAAUCUUCUGAGCAGGAUAGGACCCUGAUGAGGAGAUCUUCAAGGCUGGAUGAGAGAUUUCCUUCCAUGUCCCCACCUAUCACAUCAUGCAGCAUCCCGGACUGUAGUUGCCUUUGUCUGUACUUUCUUAGUGUGGACUCCUGUUAAGGCAAGAACUUCAUCUUGGAAGGUGAAAAUGAGCAUAUGGAGAACAUGGAUCACAGAAACUGGUACACACAAUGGGCUAAAAAUAUAUAUGAUUUGAAUAGAUAAAUGAAAAUAUUAGAGCUGACAAAUAUUAUAGCAUUUUAGGGGAGCAGAGAUAUUUUGGACGGAGGCUUGACAGCUCUUGGAGACUGAGUAGAUGUAGCAGGCAAGAGAAAUAGUUUUCUUAGUGGUGACUUCGGGAAUGGAACAAAAAUAACGUAAGUCUUGAGCACUGCUAUUUCUAUAGAAAAAUGUGCUAGUGCAAGCUUCCAAACUCUCAUUCUUGGAAUUAUGCAAGCCAAAAUACCAUUCCUGAUCCCUGGAAACAGAUGUCACUCAGACGAUAUUAUAAAACAAAAUCAAUGUUUAUGAAGUUUACUAUUUGCUUAUUUUUAAAAAACCCUUCUGUACACUAAAAAGCAAAUCUAUGUGUUUGUCAGAUGCCUUUUGAAUGUCUAUAUGUAGCUUAGUAUCUUGCCUCAUGUCCAACGUAUGACCAGUCCUUUUUACCCUCUACGAAAUAAGAAAACUCCCAUUAAGGAGAAUGGAAAGAAAAUGAUGGAUCUAUUAUUCUUCAUUAUAUUAUGUAGGUAAAUGGUAUAAUGUUGCCCUGUACUUCUCCUAAAUCAUCCUGAUUGAUUAGCAGAUGUGGACAAGGUAUGAAAGCGAUGGAGAGAGACAGUGGUCCCCUUUAGUCCAAAGUGUGUGUGUAGGGGGCAUUCUCUGUCCACUUUCUUCAGUAAUGCUAAUAGAAAUUUAAAAUGCUUUUUAAUUAUAAGGUUAUAAAAAUUAAACACUGCAUGUUUAACAUAUUAAAGUUAUGAAAUUAAGCAUAACAUUAGCAAAGAGAGACUACUGGUGUUGAUAGGUAGAGAAUAAUGUUCAGGAAUGCCAUUUUUUACCCAAAGACGCCCCCCCCCCCGCCCCCCAAUUGCAUUAACUAUGCCAGUGCUCCAAGAGAACUACAAAGUAUUGCAGAAAUUUGGAACAGAGAGACAUCAUUUAUGGCUGGGUGAUCCAGAAAGUAUUCAUGUACUUGAGGGCACAUGAGUUUGGCCUUGAAUUAUGGAUAGAUGUGCAAUACGCAGAAACUCAAGGAAAAAUAUUCCAAAUAAUAAAUUGCAGGAGGCUAUACUGCUCCACGGCUGCUGCAUCUCGGCACUAGAAUAUUGAUUAUGCUGCAAGCCUACAAGUAUUAAGAAAUACGUAUCCCAGAAGUUAACCCAGAAACACAUAAAGAAUAGAAAUGUUCCCAAUUACACAGCUGCAAAAAUUUAGUUAGAUGUCAGAGUAGUAAGUAUGUAUAAUAAAAUUCAGGUUUGUUACAAUUUAUACCAUGUUAGAAGAAAGCAAUUCCUUUGGAAGGAACCUUAUUUCACCACUGACUUAUAAUUAUAGAUGUACUUAAUUCCAUCACUGAUUUAUUUUUAUUGGUAAUGAGGAUUAGUACUUUAGCUUAAAGUAUCUCGCUUCCAUGUAUGUCAAGUAGUUAAUGACCUGUAAAUGAACUCUUAAAUAUGCUAAAGAAGCUCAUUAUUUAAGGUAAUUAUUUAGCAAAGCAAUGAUCCUUUGAUUAUGCAAAUUACUGACAUUAAAUUAUAAAUCUGUGAGUACCCAGUUUUAUGUUUUAUUCCAGGCCCUCAAAAUGACCUUCCAAAGCAGGUAUUGCUUGAUCCAGUUAGGAUGAGUAACAGGACGAUGAAAGCAUAUACCUCAAGGCUGACGAGAGAGUAGAUGUUAGCAACGUUUCCUUCAGCUGAUGGAGUUGGGAGCUGGAGAUGAUGAUGAUGAUGAUGAUGAUAGCUGUGGCUUGUUAUGUUCCUCCUGCUGAGUAGUUGUUUAGAUUUAUGAAAAUAUUAUGUGCCAAUCUUAAGACACAUUCUAAAGAUUUUUGGCUUUAAUGUUGCUUGAUUUGAAGACCAUCUCCAUGAGACAGAUAUUUAUGAGUUACUUUUUAUGUAUGUACUAAGUGUCAAAACAUUUACUAGGUACCGAAAAUAAUGUGUGCCUGGUAGGAAGGAAGGGAGGUGAUCAGGGGACAAGAAGUAGACAAUCAAUAAACCUUUUCACCAUGUGCUAAGUGAGAUGGAUGAGCUCUGGUCAGAUACUCAGAGAAGACUUAGAACAAUCACUUGGUCCAGUCUGGGAGAAAGAGGGAAGGUGGUGGAGGAAGUGAAAACAGAAUGAAAGUGAAGGGGAGUAAAAUGUGGAGAUGGAAGUAGGGCUGUCUUAGGCAGAGAGAAAAAAGCCUGUGAGAAGUGAAUAGCAAUGGGCUGUUCUCUGGACUGCGGAUAACUCAGUGUGACUCCAGUGCUGAGUGUAAGGAUCGCUGUGGUGGCGGUGCAAAAUGAGGCUGGAGAGGGAAAAGGAGCCAGAAGUUUUAUCUUGAGGAAUAUGUUAGGAUGCCUGAAAGAUUUUAAGUAAGGGGCCUAUAAAACCAUGUUUACAUUUCAGAAAGAUCAGCAUUAUGAAAGGGGGUCAAGCCACUGGUGAUAUUAAAAAUUCCAGUCGCGUAUUUAGCCAGGACCAAAGGGCAGGAGGGUCUUAUGUGAGCCGAGUUAACACUUCAGUUGCUGCCUCCAGGCCUGCGCAGAUGGAGGCAGUGUCUAUUCACUAACAUAUAGAGGUAUUCAGUAUCUUAGCAAUCAUAAGGCUGCACUCAUAUGUCCUAGCUGAAUAUCUGUUCUGGGUAGAAGGCACUGGAUUCGGUUGAGAGCCACUGGAGAUCACUGAUAUAACCCAAAUAGAAGUAUGUCACAGGAGAGAUCAAAACACUUGAAUGCACUCAAGACACUCAGAAAGAGAAAUGAAAUGACUUGGCUAUUAAUUGGUGGUGAUGGAGUGAAAGGGAGGGGAAUAGGGGAUGACUUGUCUCCUGGCUUGAGUAAACAGGUGGAUGGAGUGGCCAUUCAUUGGUUCAUUGAGAAGUGUGAAAAGGGAGUAGAAUAGUCAGGGAUAGGAAAACCAGUGAGUUUUUUAUUUGACGUAUCUCUUGAACACUGAGGAAGAGAUGUUUGUUUAGCAUUAUAUGAUCCUAUAAAUUUGAAGCUCAGGAGAGAGAGGAACAAGAGCCGCAGGUUUAGGAGUCAUCAUUACAGGUGGGAGUUGAAGCCAUUCACGGUGGACGAUGUCUUCCAAGUAGAGCAUAUCGAGUGAGGUGCCACCAUCUUGGACAGUGAGUCUUAGGUGUUCCCUAGGCAAUAGUGCCUUGUACACACACACAAUUGGACAUCAUAUCAAAACCCAUAUGAGAUUUACUAACCACUCUCUUACAUAUCUCAGCAUUUAUAGGUUUCCUAGGUUAGGGGUGAAGUGCAUUCCCAAAGAUGUCCCUUUGUGGAUAGAAUAUUUCUCCCCUACUCUUCUUCACAUGGAAAAAUAUGUGCUUUUAUAGAUGGUGUAGAAACACUGUUCAGUUAGCCCUACUCUCUUUCCUGAAUACUAAAAGGAAUGGGAGAAUCUUAAUUGAUCUCCAAUAAAAAAUUUGGAGAAAAAUUAUUUUCAGUUUAUCUUAAGUUAUCCUAACAUAUAAAUUGGGUCUUUUGUUUACUAAUUUACUGCUUUUUCCUAAAUUCUAUGUAUUGUCUACCUAUUCUUUUUCUUAGUUCUUCUCCAGGCCUCUGCACCUGUGAGAACUAUUAAAACCAAUUCAUAGCUUCUUGCUUUCUGUCUCUCUCAGAACUCCUUCUGAAUAUGGCUGCCAGCAUACUUCCCAAACUCCACUUCCAUGAUGUCACUCACCAAGAGCUGGCAAUGACUUUUCCACUGUCAAUUAUACCAAGAGCAUACCGCACCCCCCCCCCCCCCGCCCACUCUCUAGAAUAAAAUCACACCUAGCCUAUGAAUGGUUUUGAUGAUUCCCUGAUAGAGCUCCUCAAGGCAAUCAGACCUAAAUCUUCAUUGACUCACCCCCCUAGUCUGCAUAAUUCACACACUUGUUUUCUGUUUUGCCGAGCUGGGGUCUCAGCAGUAAGAAACAUGGUUUAUUAGAAAGAGCACAGAGAUAAGAUUCAGAAACUCUGGCCCUAAGUUUGAAGCCUAGUGACUCUUUUGACAAGCUAUUUAAUUUCUUAUCUCUGAGAGAUAAAGAAAUCUGCUAACACCUUUCAUAGGGUUAUUCUGAAGGGUAAAUGAGAUCAUCUAUGUGAACGUGCUUUCUAAAUUAUAAAGUGCUAGAUAAAGCAAACCCUAUGUAAUCAAAAUUUCUCUUAUCUGAAAUUCAGGAAUACACGAUUUUUAAACAAUGUAUAUGUUUGAUAGCUUUGAAAUUUUCAGUGUUCUUAGAUACAAGUCAGAAGUCACUACUAUAUGAAAUAAUUAAAAAGAAGGACCCAGAGGUUGUGAACAGAAAUAGAGACAAAAUAAAUACUCAACAAAUUCUUGGGGAUUCUCAACAUUGGUUUUCCCAAAGAGUGGGCUUCAAAGGGUUUCAAGUAGAAACCCUAGGAUGUAGAGGUACAUUCUUGCCAACUAUAUUAUGAUGAGGAAUGCAGAUAAUUGUAAGAAGGAAUGGCAGUUCCAAAAGUAAGACUGAGCCAUGAAGUCAUAAAGAUAUACAAAAUUUGGAUGAGGAAAAGCUAAAAACUCAAAAAAUUAAGUGCUUUCUAAUAUAUGUGUUAUCUGCAAAAAGCAGAAGCAGAUGAGUAAAUCAUUAUAACUUUGUUGCAAAAAGAUUACAAAAAGUAUCUGGUGAAUAAGCAAAUGGAAAUUAGCAAUAUAGUACUCAUUGGCACUAAUUUAAGGUUUCAAAACGUCCUUUGGAUUGCAGUUUUUAAUUCAAUGAUUUCAAAAUUAUUUAUGAAUUUUUGCAGGUUCACUCAAGACCCUUGCAUUGGUAAGCCUACUUUCCUUCAUAUGCCAAUCUUCCUUUCAUUUUGGUUUUAAAGGCCUUUUCCUCAAGUUGGGGAAGGUCUAUGGGAUGUUGAGGGUUGGGCUAACACCAUGGGGCAUCCAUGGUAUUUCCCCCUUACCUAUGAUGUAGAUUAUCUGUUUGUUUCCUAAACAUUGUUUGCAUUUUUGGCCUUUUCCAUUCAACAUUAUUGUUUUUGUGAGAUUCAUGAAUUAUUUCCAAACAUGGUUUUGCUUUUCCCAAAUAGAUAGAAGGUUCCUUAAGGCCAACACAAAAUAUAAAACUCUCUAUUCCUUAUAAGAAUAUUGUAAACUCUAAGUAUGUACAUAGACUCUUAACAAGUAUUUCUAGAGUAACUGAAAUCAAGUCUAAUAAACAGAAGUUAACUCUCUAUGGUUUCUCAGCUGUAAAUGUAACAUGAGUAAAAACUGCUACUUCUUAUGAGAAUAUAAACUUAGUUCCUCAUAUUUACUAUUAAUGUAUUUAGAAAACCAAAUUUGUUUAUGGACUAAUGUCUUAUUCAGUUAAUGAGAUGUUAUAAAAUGUAGUGGUUUAAAAAUCAUUUUCCAAUUACUAAUCAAGCCAGAAAUGCUUAGAAAAUUCAAGAUGAUUCAUUUGAAAUGCUCCUUUUGAUAUUAUGCCUAAGUGUUUAUAGAGCAUAUCUACAAAACAUAUAAAAUUUUUUUUUGUUUCAAUCCUGUAGUUCUUGACAGAAUUUGAAAUUAAAAUGGUACUCAACAUGACCAA